GCAUUAGUGGUGUAGCGGUAACAUUGUUGCCUUCCAAGCAAUAGCUCUGGGUUCGACUCCCAGCUAAUGCA